GGCGAACGGGUGAGUAACACGUGAGCAACCUGCCCCUGACUCUGGGAUAAGCGGUGGAAACGCCGUCUAAUACCGGAUACGACCUGCCAUCUCAUGGUGGUGGGUGGAAAGUUUUUCGGUCAGGGAUGGGCUCGCGGCCUAUCAGCUUGUUGGUGGGGUAACGGCCUACCAAGGCGAUUACGGGUAGCCGGCCUGAGAGGGCGACCGGCCACACUGGGACUGAGACACGGCCCAGACUCCUGCGGGAGGCAGCAGUGGGGAAUAUUGCGCAAUGGGCGAAAGCCUGACGCAGCGACGCCGCGUGGGGGAUGACGGCCUUCGGGUUGUAAACCUCUUUUACCACCAACGCAGGCUCCCAGUUCUCUGGGGGUUGACGGUAGGUGGGGAAUAAGGACCGGCUAACUACGUGCCAGCAGCCGCGGUAAUACGUAGGGUCCGAGCGUUGUCCGGAAUUAUUGGGCGUAAAGAGCUCGUAGGCGGCGUGUCGCGUCUGCUGUGAA
rnacentral:rRNA from 1 species